rnacentral:rRNA from 1 species
GACAGAGGCCUCAAGCGUUUAGGCGGAAUCACUGGGCUUAAAGCGUGUGUAGGCGGAUCGUUAAGUGUCUUGUGAAAUCCCACGGCUCACCCGUGGAACGGCUGGGCAUACUGGCGAUCUUGGGCCAACUAGGGGCAACUGGAACAAGCGGUGGAGCGGUGAAAUGCGUAGAUAUCGCUUGGGACGCCAAAGGUGAAAACAGGUUGCUGGGGUUGUGCCGACGCUGAGACACGAAAGCCAGGGGAGCAAACGGG